CCGAGCGCGCCGCUGCCGCAGCCGCCCCCGCCACCAAGAGCUGCCCCUCGUCCCCCGUGCUGCGCCGCCCGCCGCAGCCUCCUCCACCGCGGCCUCCCUCUAGCCCCACCAACGACGACGAAUCCAAGUCCUCCUGUUGGGUGAAAAAGAAAAUUUUUCGGCCGAAGUCGUAACUGUCUACGUUUCCUCCAGUUUCUAAACAGUGUCAUAAAUGUCGAGGAUUUCUUCAGGUCAUCAGACAACCCAACUGUCCACAAUGAGAUCAAGAUCUCCCAUUGUUUCUCCUGGAGCCUCCUCCACUGUGGCUACCUGCUAGCAUCUCCAACAACAACAAGCGCAAACUUUCCUGCUGAGUGAAAAAGAAAAUUUUUCGGCCGAAGUCAUACAAGUCUAUGUUUCAUCCAAUUACCAAUCAAGUCAGUGCUCGACAAUCAAUUCAAAAAUUUCCUCUGUGUCCGACAUAGCCUCUUAUAGCGUAGCCACCUGCUAGCCUGAAAGGCGACAAGUCCAGAUCCGCCUACUGGGGAACAAGUAACCACACAGCCCGAAAGUCGCCAAGGAGUUCAAGAUCUCGCGAUGUUCUUCUGCAGCCUUCUCCACUGUGGGUGGCUACAUCCACCUCCCACGACGAAAAGUCCAAACUUUCCUGUUGGGUGAGGAAGAAAAUUCUCCAGAGGAAAUCGUAUGUUUCUGUCUAUUCUCCAGUCAUCAAGCAACACAACAGUCGACGAAAAUUUCAAGCAGCCUCCUCCAUAUGGCCAGUGCAGGCCUCUCCAACGGUGACGAAUAAAAAUCUCCCAUUCGAGCGAAGGAAAAAAAUUCAGCCAACGUCAUAAGUGUCCACGAUUUUCUGCGGCCACUGAUCAACUGAACUGUAACGAGUUAAAGACUACCUACACUGUAAAGCGUUUCUCUAGCAUAUGGUUUCUUGGAGCUAACAGCCACAAUGAUCACUGACGAGUACGUGAUCUGCCAGCUUUGAAAGAAGAAAGUGUUUAAGUCCAACGUAUAGCUGAUUUAGUUUCGCCUCCAACCGUCUAAAGAAACGGAGAUAUUGACUAGCCUCUCCAAUGAAGAGGAGUCCAAAUUUUCCUUUUGACUAGAGAACAAAGCUUUUCGGCCGAAUCUACAGGUGUCCACGGUAUUCCGUGCUCACCAAGCAACUCAGUUGUCGACAUCAUGUUCAGCACUGCCCACUAUAUAUAAAGACUCUCUAGAUCCUAGUCUAUGAUUUCCCAGUUCUGUUAGUCAGCUUUAUCACGAACAAGUUUAUCAUCUGCCUUUGGUGAAAGAGUAAGGAUACGAGGUUCAUCUCAUAGCUUUCUCAGUUUUUUCUCAAACCAUUCAAACAGAAUGACAUCCUGACUUCAUGCCAGGUAAAAAAUAGCAUUUGAAGGCCUCAUGAUUUUCAGCACUAACUAGAAUUCGUGCUGGCUAAAGAAGAAAACUUUGAAGUCCAAAAUGUAGCUCUUCGAUUUUCUGUCAAAGUUAUUGAUAUGUAAAGAGGAAAAUCUUCUUCAUCCUGGACGGAAAUUAGCGCGGUUUUCUCGUUCCACCAACAGGAAGAUAUCUGCUAGCGAAGAAAAUGUUGCAGUCUAAUUAUUCCCUUCCUCAAUUAGAACGAAAUGGAGUCAACACCUAGCGCUGUGUAAAGAGGAAGAUAUCUAGACCCAACAUGUAGGCUUGUAAUUAGUAGCCAAAACAUCCUGCUGGGUAAAGAAUCAAAUGUCUUUGGCUACAACGUAAUCACUCGUUUACCUCACAAGAACGCGAGAAAUGAAAAGGGAUCAAAUUUUAAGACUUCGUGUUACGUAAGGAAAAAAAUCCUUAGGUUAGAGAGGCAGCGUUCUAAUUAUUGCUGAUGGUACAUUCAAACAACUUUCCCGAAUUGAGAAAUAAUAUUAGAUCAAAGUAACAACAAGCGACAAAAAUGAAGCUAUCUCUUCUUACCAUAAGGGACGUCUUCUUCAUGGGAUAUACAGCAUCUUAAGCACAAAAUGCAGUACCCAGAAUGCUGUAGCCCGUUGGAGGUUUCUCUGGAAAAUGUUGAACCAUUCCGUUUAUCAAGUUUAUGACUCAGUAGGUAUAACGCGACAACAUUUAUGGCAGUUGGGUCACAUCACCUCGCUGAUGGUGUAGAAUUUGGACGGUGAUGAGUUCUUGCUCGGCAUAAAAGAGUUCACAACUGACCUCUUAUAACGCAUACCAAUGAGCUCAAUCAUUUGUUGUGUCCAAUCGGCUGUGCAUAUCCACUUAGUUGGCGCCAAUGUGAAACACAGUGACAACGCCACGGCCUGCGCUUGCGAGAAAACAGUUGCCUAACUGUUAUGAACGACAGCAUUUAUAUCAGCGUUCGUUGAGCACUGAUAACAAAGAUAAAAGGAAUAUAUUAUUUCAGGAGCGUGAUUGGCUGUUAGCGAAAAACGACUUUUGAGUGUUAUUUCAUGAAUGAUCGUGAACUGCAGUGCUAUAAUCUGACUUGAGGCUGCUCUAUAGUUGUUCAAAUUUUAGGGAAUAUUAGUGUCAGUCUGAAAUGUAAUGACUGUCGACUAUCUCCUGGAUCAAGCGUACUAAUGAAAAUAGUUUAUUGCAAUACAGAACGUGUUAGGCGAAGUAAAAUACGUGCAUGGAAGAUCGUAUUUCACACGAUCUUCGCGCGUUGUUUAUUUUCGCAGUUUUGGUAGAAGUAACGACGUUGCCAUUGUUUUUCAUGUUACCAACGUUGAUAUAUCGCGUGUUCACAGUAUGUGAAAAGAUAUUUUGUGCUGUUUAAUCAACUGUAAUACUCCGAAGUUCCGUCCGUUACACAGUAUAGUGACUCAUUACAUUUUACAGCUUCAUCGUUGGCAUUUUGUUGAAAAAUCUGGCCUACUGUCCUCUUAAUGAUUUGUUGGAAUGAAGUAGAAGCAUAAAAAAUAUUACGAAACUACAAUUCGCCCUUAUGUCGGUACAAGAUGACGAUCUAGCAGGUGGUUACACACUCAUCAGGUUACUUAAUGAAUUCGCCAAGAACUGCUGUGAAACCAUCAGAAAUAAUAAUAAACAAGAAACAAUUAAUCACGAAGUUUUCAUCUACAACAAAUAAAACUGUAAUUUGAUUUUUUCCUUCUAAUAUUGUGGCAACAUUUCCACAGUGUUGGAAUACCUUCAACCCAUGUGACAAUAUUGUGGCAGCAUUUCCACAUUGCUGGAAUACCUUCAAACUGUACGACAAUAUUACAAAUAAAUCAGACACAUGGCUAAAAAAUUUUAGUUUUAAGGACAAAAUUUGUACUGAAUAUUUGUUUGAUACACAUGUGUAAUACUAAAGUUUGUAUGAAAUAAUGGCUGUGUGUAAGAAGUGAACGAAAUAAAUAUUUUGUUUAGUGUCAA